AACAGAAGUAAAAAAAGUAGCAGCUUUAGGCUGAUUCAUUUGCUGGAAGGUUUCAUUAGGGACGUGUGCGAUAAGCAUAAGCCAUAGAAGAGGAGAACUGAUCAGCAGCGGUUUUUUACCUGUACCUGGAAAGUGCACGAGGUACUGAUAGCUGUCACAACGGCAUCCCAACAAGGUAAAAAGGAAGUAUAAAUACGACGAAUGACCUAGUUUAUUUUCCCGGUGCGAUGAUAUGAUGAAUCGAUUCCUAAAUCGAUAUAGGGCUCAUCGCAUGAAAAUGAAAUGAGGCUCUACUGACUUAUUAUCGAUAUUUUAUCAAUUCGUUAUAUAUCUAUACAUAUAUCUACAUAUAUAUAGAAUAUAAACGACCUUUUCAUCACCGAUUAUAGAUAAUCAUGUCACAAACGCAAAAACUGAUAAAUUAUUUUAUCUUUGACACAUAUUUUUAUCGCAUUCGUUUCUUGUACUGCGAUAAUGUAUUAUCUUUUGAUUAAGGGACACUCAGACUAUUUAAAUCUCGGAUCUUAUGUUAUCCGAAUAUUAUUCUCCGUAUAUUUGCGUUUAAGUAUUAUCAUUUUAGUAUAUUAUCCCCCUGAUAAAUCAUUAUUAUUACAGUAAAUUCAAAUAGAUUUAGCCCUACUUUUAAUACCUCCACAAAAUAAUGUUCACAUUAUUCUCAAUGUAUAUCAGAAAACAUGUAUUCGAUUCCGUGCAAAGCCAUACUGCAAAGAAAAAAAAAACAGAGAAACUGGAUAAGAUAUCGGUUUCCGCCGUCACUGCGGAUAUCAAACGAUUUUAUAUGGAAUAAUUUAUGGGGGAGAACUGAUAAGGUCUACUUUCGUGCAGCGCAUUCCUUCAUACCAAUUAACGCAUAUUCGAUACAUCCCACUGCUAAUGAUGAAUACAUCUAUAUAUUAAACAAGCCCUAGUGGACACAAAAAGAUUUUGAAUGACUUUAGAAAAAAGAUUUUCUUUCUCCUUUUAUUAAAAUAAAGCAUUCAAACAAACGCAGUCUCAGUUACUCAUAACAUAUCGAUAUGUCUGAACGAGAUGACGGGCUCUACAUUAAACACCAAACGAAGAACUUGUACAUCACGUAAGUUUAUUGUCAAGCCUCGGCCAUGUACAAUCAGUAAUAAAUAGGGAACAGUCAUGCAUCAUGGUUUAAAA